rnacentral:rRNA from 1 species
UGGAUAAUCUGCCCUGCACAGGGGGACAACAGCUAGAAAUGGCUGCUAAUACCGCAUAAGCCUACAGCCUCGCAUGAGGGAGUAGGAAAAGAAAUUCGGUGCAGGAUGAGUCCGCGUCUGAUUAGCUAGUUGGAGGGGUAAGAGCCCACCAAGGCAACGAUCAGUAGCCGGCCUGAGAGGGUGAACGGCCACAUUGGGACUGAGACACGACCCAAACUCCUACGGAAGGCAGCAG